AGUGAACGCUGGCGGUAGGCCUAACACAUGCAAGUCGAACGGCAGCACAGUAAGAGCUUGCUCUUACGGGUGGCGAGUGGCGGACGGGUGAGGAAUACAUCGGAAUCUACUUUUUCGUGGGGGAUAACGUAGGGAAACUUACGCUAAUACCGCAUACGACCUACGGGUGAAAGCAGGGGAUCUUCGGACCUUGCGCGAUUGAAUGAGCCGAUGUCGGAUUAGCUAGUUGGCGGGGUAAAGGCCCACCAAGGCGACGAUCCGUAGCUGGUCUGAGAGGAUGAUCAGCCACACUGGAACUGAGACACGGUCCAGACUCCUACGGGAGGCAGCAGUGGGGAAUAUUGGACAAUGGGCGCAAGCCUGAUCCAGCCAUACCGCGUGGGUGAAGAAGGCCCUCGGGUUGCAAAGCCCUUUUGUUGGGAAAGAAAAGCAGCAGGUUAAUACCCCGCUGUUCUGACGGUACCCAAAGAAUAAGCACCGGCUAACUUCGUG
rnacentral:rRNA from 1 species